rnacentral:rRNA from 1 species
GCAAGUCGAACGGUAACAUAGCUAGCUUGCUAGCUGAUGACGAGUGGCGGACGGGUGAGUAACGCGUAGGGAUCUACCUUCUGGUGGGGGAUAGCCCGGUGAAAACCGGAUUAAUACCGCAUAAGACCUAAGGGUGAAAAGGGGCCAAUUCUUGAAAGCUCUUGCCGGAAGAUGAACCUGCGUUAGAUUAGCUAGUUGGUAGGGUAAUGGCCUACCAAGGCGACGAUCAGUAGCUGGUUUGAGAGGACGACC